rnacentral:tRNA from 1 species
AUCUGGCUGGCUUAGUCCGAAGAGCAUGUGACUCUUGAUCUUAGGAUCAUGGGUUUGAGUCCCAAGUUGGGUG